rnacentral:piRNA from 1 species
CUCUACUAGGAGGUCAAGUCGCUGC